rnacentral:sRNA from 1 species
ACUGGGAAGAUGGACGCAGCUACUCUGACCUACGACACUCUCCGGUUUGCCGAGUUUGAAGAUUUUCCUGAGACCUCAGAGCCCGUUUGGAUACUGGGUAGAAAAUACAGCAUUUUCACAGGGGGGACAGGCCCCACCUCGGACACAGGCUGGGGCUGCAUGCUGCGGUGUGGACAGAUGAUCUUUGCCCAAGCCCUGGUGUGCCGGCACCUAGGCCGAGAUUGGAGGUGGACACAAAGGAAGAGGCAGCCAGACAGCUACUUCAGCGUCCUCAACGCAUUCAUCGACAGGAAGGACAGUUACUACUCCAUUCACCAGAUAGCGCAAAUGGGAGUUGGCGAAGGCAAGUCCAUAGGCCAGUGGUACGGGCCGAACACUGUCGCCCAGGUCCUCAAGAAGCUUGCUGUCUUCGACACGUGGAGCUCCUUGGCGGUCCACAUUGCGAUGGACAACACUGUUGUGAUGGAGGAAAUCAGUAAGUGGCGCAGGGUUUCCAUGGACAAGAAAGUUGAAAUUAUGGGCAACACAGACACUUCCUUGCCUGAGUCCCCACGGGAGCCUCGGCGAGUGUUGUCAGUCGCCCCAUGCCGUGCAGGUGCUCCGUGGGGCCUGCGUGCCAAGCCAGAUGCACGGUGGCCUCGCUCUCCUAUCCCGGCGGUCAUACCAAGAGAGGAGAGCCCAGGCUCUCUGGAGGCCGUGACUUGGUAUCUCACGUCAUGUUUUGUGUCUUGGUUACAAAUCAUUUGUGAAGGCGUGCUGUGCUUAGGCGCCCUCGUGUGGUAAUUCUGGUGAAGUUCUUUUGCCUUGAUAUGCCACAGAGAGAUGCAGCAACCAUCUCUAGCUGCACCAUCUCGAGCAAAGGCAUGUCGUGAAGGCAGAGCUCUUUUCAGCUUU